rnacentral:tRNA from 1 species
GUCCCCAGGGUAGCCUAGUGGCCAUGGCAUCUGCCCGGUAAGCGGAACAUUGUGGGUUCGAUUCAUAUCCCCGGACA